CCUGUGUUUCAGCCGUAAGCUCCAUUUCCUUCGUUUCCUGUCAAGUUCUUUGUGAUCGGAGAUUCUUUUUAUUUCUUUUCGUGCUGGAUUUGCCUAUGUUCUGGAGUCUUGAGCAUUUUCCAACUUUUUCUUCUUUUUUUUUCCCUUUCCCAAUCCUUGAGCUUGAUGAAAGAGAGUUGGAAUUAUGGACUUCAUAUACGAAACACAAUACCCUAAACCGAAGGUACUUUUUUUUUUGUGGGAUAUUUUUUCAACUUUUUCAAUUAAAUUUAUCGUGUGAUCUUGAUUUUGAGGGUUUCAAUUCGAAAUUGCUUAAAGAAUGAUUUUUUUCUGCGGAGAGGGAACCUCAAUGUGAUUUUUUUUUAAUGCAAAUGUAUGUUGAGAGGGGAAAGAGUGUGAAGCAUCUGAUAAUCCUUAUAGCGAAAGCAGAUGUAAUCACUAAAUAUUGGAUGUCUUUCCCAUAUCAAAACAGAAUCUUAAUGCUUGCCUGCCUGCUUCCAUUGUGGCUCGCAAGUUUGGCUUUUCUGUUACAUGCCAUGCUAAUUUUCUUUUUAGGUAGCCAUUUUCCUAGUUUUCUAGUUUACUUGAUCUUUAUCAUCUCAUCACUAAAGUCUUUUGAAGCCAUAAGCAACGAAAGGAGGUUAAAAAAAAACUAUUUUAUUAAAAUACUCUUUGCACUCUACAAAGGGAAAUUCCAAUACUCUUUAUGUUUUUUUUUUUUUUUUUGAAGGAAAAGAGUAUUCCAAAUUUAUUAAAGAUAGAAUAUCAUUUAUUUUUUGUAAAGGCUCUAAAUAAAUUCGUUCUUCGGAUUUUCUUCAAAAUUUUUCUAUCGAGCACUUCAUGCCGGGCUAACGGAGCUAAGUCUCGGCUAAUUCUGAAAACACAAGUGUUCUAAUCCGAACAACUGGGGAACUCGCAAUGAAAAAAUUGGCAGUCGCUGCGAUCGCCAGAUGUUUACAAGGAUUCAAAAGAAUCAUUUCAGCCUGUGAGGCAACCGUGGGACGGAUUUAAUCCAGGAACACGACGGUCGGUGGAGUAAUUUGCUCUCCUAAAAGGUGGAAAGAACAGCUAAAAACAAGAAAUUUUUUCGUAUUAAAUAUUCCUAGUUCGGUUGGAGUUUUUUUUAUAUCCUAGAACUGAAAAGAUGGAGAAAAAGGAAUUGCACUCUCCAAAACAAAGCCUACAAUGCACUUGGGGAAUAAUUAGAAUUGAUUUCGAGAAAGACUGUAAUAAAAACUGUUCAAGAGAAAAUUAUCAUCCUUUUAAUUUAAAUGUAUAUCAUAUGUUUCUUAAUCUACAAUCUAUAUGAGGAAGUCCGCUUCAUCCUCCAAGCACCUAACAUUGUUGGUGCUGGUUUUGUUCCUCGGAGCCGGAGGAAGGGCAGGGUGCUUUUGGACAGGACACUAAAUGAACCCAACAAAUCAUCAUAUUCUGCUUAGAAUUGCGAUGGCUUUGCUGCUGUUUAAGGCUCUCAAGGAUCACACACAGCUACAGAAAAAUGGCUUUUGACGAUUUCCGAAGGUGAUUUAUUUCCUCCACUUGUUAACCCUGCAUCCUGAUGAUUCCCUGUGCUUAUUGCAAGGAGGCCUUGCGAGUGUCCGAGUCAUUCUGGGUGCAAUCUCACCAUCAAAUCAUCACUUUAUGCUUAAGCUGAAGUCCUCAGGUUAAGCUGAUCAUCAUCAGGAUAGAGCUCAAGGUUGGCUGACAUGGGACGCCCAAAAUGAUGAACCUGAAUGGACUGACUAGUAAAUCCCAUCGUAUUUGUUACAUCUUUUCAGAAAUCAACAGUCAUGAUAUUCCCGAGCACAAAAAGGCUGAUAUAAUAUUUAACUUAUCACGAUGCGUGGAUUAACGUACAGGAAGAACCAGAAAUAAGAUAUUUCAUCCCUGAGAUCUUUCCAAUAAAUUAAAGCUUAAAUAGUACACUGAAACAAAAUUCCAUAUGAUACGACUACAACCAGAGAACAGAUUUUUUUUUUUUUUUU